rnacentral:lncRNA from 1 species
GUCCCAAGCUUCAGGUAUUUCUUUAUGCUCUUUUUUAGAACUACCUCCAAAGAUCUGUAAGUUUUUGGUCCUUCCAAAGUGGUAUGAUCAAAGUAGAAGAAUAGUCACUGUUCUCCUGGUCUGUGAUCUGGUCGUAAAAUAUUUCCUUUACCAUUGAUCUG